GACCGUUUCACUACGGAAGGGCUGUAUUUAUUGGAUACCAAAACCAUCCUUCCCUCGGGAAGUUUUGUUUGAUGAUUCACAAUAACUGAUCGGAUCGCCACUGUGGUGGCGACAGGUCAUUCAACAUUCUGCCCUAUCAACUUUCGAUGGUUGUGUAGUGGACAACCAUGGCCAUAACGGGUAACGGAGAAUCAGGGUUCGAUUCCGGAGAAGGAGCCUGAGAAUUGGCUACUACAUCUAAGGAAGGCAGCAGGCGCGCAAAUUACCCAAUCCCGAUUCGGGGAGGUAGUGACAAAAAAUAACAAUACCGGGCCUUUUUGGGCUUGGUAAUUGGAAUGAGGGAGAGUUAAACGGACCAUCGAGUCUCCAUUGGAGGGCAAGUCUGGUGCCAGCAGCUGCGGUAAUACCAGCUCCAAUAGCGUAUAUUAAAGUUGUUGCAGUUAAAAAGCUCGUAGUUGGACUUGUGUGCGCUGUCCGCGGGUGGCCUGCGCCCAAAAGGGCGUUUCGGUUCGGCCCCGGUGGCGCCUUGAAAUCUGCAGCUGGGGGGACGUUGGCCUUAACUGGUCGGCGACCGCACGCCGGCUGCUCGGUUACUGUGAGAAAAUUAGAGUGUUCAAGGCAGGCAUUGGGUGCAAUUGAAUACAUUAGCAUGGAAUAAUAAAAUAUGGCUCCUGCCGUAUUUUGUUGGUUUUGACUGGUGGGAGUAAUGAUUGAUAGGGACGGUUGGGGGUGCUAGUAUUGAGCGGCCAGAGGUGAAAUUCAUGGAUUCGCUCAAGACUAACUUAUGCGAAAGCAUUCACCAAGGACGUCCUCUUUAAUCAAGAACGAAAGUUGGGGGAUCGAAGACGAUCAGAUACCGUCGUAGUCUCAACCAUAAACUAUGUCGACUUGGGAUCGGCGGUAGUUUUUUCAUUAAGACACUGUCGGGACCACGGGAGAAAUCAAAGUGUCUGGACUCUGGGGGAAGUAUGGUCGCAAGGCAGAAACUUGAAGGAAUUGACGGAAGGGCACCACCAGGAGUGGAGCCUGCGGCUUAAUUUGACACAACACGGGGAAACUUACCAGGUCCAGAGAUGUAGAGGAUUGACAGAUUGAAGCUCUUUCUUGAUCACUUCGGUGGUGGUGCAUGGCCGUUCUUAGUUGGUGGAGUGAUUUGUCUGGUUAAUUCCGUUAACGAACGAGACCUCAGCCUGCUA
rnacentral:rRNA from 1 species